GAGAAACUACGCCACCUCCCCUGCAGCCGAGCGCACGCAGCAGCCUGGCGUGACAAGUGGGCGACGCCGGGGGGGCAGGGAACCGGGGGUCCUUGGCCCUGGCCGGGGACCUCGCCGCCCACCAGCGGAGAAUAAGUUUUAGCCGGCAGCCCCAGCCAGCCCUGCACCUGUCUCCAGCGUCUCCAUCGCUCCUCGUGAUCAUCGAAGGGAAAUUCUAGAAGAAUUUGCUUCACAAAUCUACGUGCGCAUCAUUUUCUCCGCCGCGUCUCKUUCGGGAGGAAGGAACGAGAAAGGGAUUCGAGCGGCGGGCGUUCUGCCCGAAGGGUUAGGAGGAUUGAGGUGUUCGCCAUCUGGAGUUUCUCUGCCUCAUGGAGCCCAGCUCAGAGCUGCCAGUUUGCAGGAGAUGAUUGAUAACAUCUUAUUCACAGCCCAUUGCCAAUUUUUAGAUCUUCAUCCUUUUGGCCGACUUGAUUUCCGAGUUUAGUUUGACCAUUCUCAGCAACUAUCAACAGUGCGG
rnacentral:lncRNA from 1 species